UAUUAUAWWAURUGUAAAAAACGUAAGRUCUGAGUAGUAAUAGUUAAGGUCUUGAAACUCAAAGAAUUUGGCGGUGUUUUAGUCUUUUCAGAGGAAUUUGUUCUGUAAUCGAUAAUACACGAUUAAUUAUACUUAACUUUGUAACCAGUUUGUAUACCGCCGUCAUAAGAUUAUUUUGUGGAGAAGAAUAAUUUUCUUGUUUUAURAAUUUAAAAUAUGUCAGGUCAAGGUGCAGCUUAUGGUUAAGUAGAAAUGAAUUACAAUAAUUAUAAUUAUUAUGGAUUAUUAUUUGAAAUGUUAAUAUGAAGGUGGAUUUGAUUGUAAAUUGAUUUAAAUUAAUUAUUUGAUUAGGGCUCUAAAACAUGUACACAUCGCCCGUCGCUCUCGUUUUAAAAUGAG
rnacentral:rRNA from 1 species